rnacentral:rRNA from 1 species
UACGUAGGGUGCAGGCGUUAAUCGGAAUUACUGGGCGUAAAGCGUGCGCAGGCGGUUUGCUAAGACAGGUGUGAAAUCCCCGGGCUUAACCUGGGAACUGCGCUUGUUACUUGGCAGGCUUGGAGUGUGGCAGAGGGGGGUGGAAUUCCACGUGUAGCAGUGAAAUGCGUAGAGAUGUGGAGGAACACCGAUGGCGAAGGCAGCCCCCUGGGCUAACACUGACGCUCAUGCACGAAAGCGUGGGGAGCAAACAGG